GCACUACUGAGGAGUCCCAUACUAGGACGAAACGGCCGUCCACUGC
rnacentral:hammerhead_ribozyme from 1 species